GUUGUCUUGGCCUUACGUUUCUUUAGUUAAUUAUAAUUUCGUCCCGCCCCCCGUUCUCGCGAUUUGUGGAAGUUUGUGAUAUUUAAGUGAAUUUCGUUAUUUGACUUAAUGUUAGACACGUAACGUUACUAAACCAGAAGAGGUGAAGAGCGGACAACUACUUGUUGGUUAAGCCUAAAUUAUGAGGGGCUGUAGACGUGAAUGAAAAGCUAGUGAAAAUGUAUCUAGACCUGCCGAGGUUAACGUGUUUUUUAAGAAAUACUUGCUAUUGGGACAAGGAGGAGUGGCUGAGAGGAGACCAGGGCCUGUAUCGAACUGCUAACCGUGGCAUUUUGGACUAAAAGCUGCAGAGCCAGCAAGACCCAUCAAAGGACCAGAUGAAAGGCUGACCCAGAGAGCUCAGCUCAGCUCUCCAAUCCAAACACUGACAUAUGCUGCUGCAGCCACGGUGAGGGCCAAGCAGAUGGAGACCAGCCCUGAAAGAGCGUUUGGCUGCCCAGAAGCGGAGUUUUCCUGUCUGUGCUGGAGGCUUGGGACUGCUGCCUUUACUCUCAUCGAGAUACCAGGAAAUACUGCUUCACGUCACCAAGGGUCAACUCUGACCACCGAGGUGAGAGGAUCUCUCCUUCUGCCAGGCAUCGUGGAGAGAAAGCCUUACUCUUAUCCUCCAAAGGCUCAUCAGAUAAGAACUGGCUGAGGGAGAAUCCUAUCCUCCCAGGGGCCUAUGAUGGAAGGAAAUAUCAGUAGUUCAGAGUACAAACAGUCGCUGUUAACAUUUGAGACUGUGGGGAUUUGGAGUACAUUGUGUAUGCAAAGGAAAUAGUUCCUAGCUAAACACUGUGUUCUCAACAUCUGCUUAUCAGAGUUCAGUGAUAUUAUAUUAGCGUGAUCAAAGAUAGUUGUGAAGUGCUUUAUUGAAGGAGCAGUUUGCAGUUAAGUGAUUCCUAACAGUGAGCUACUUUCCAUUAGUACUAACCCUAACACCUGGGGAUUUGCUGAGCAUGCCAACUAUGUUGGUGUGUUUUACAGCAGAAAUGACAGAAUUAUGCUUUGAAAGUAACCCAGUGUUUUCAGCUGAGAUAAGCACAGACCAGCAGAUUGUGGGACCAAUAAUCUCCAGGUCCUCUCCUUAUGAUCAGAGAAAGUAUAAACUCUUAAGGCAGUGGUUAUUUUGGCAGCUAUUUUAGAUUUAGUCUAAGUCUUUAGACGGAAAUCCUUAGUUUUAGUCAUUUUUAUCCUUCAUAAUUUUAGUAUAGUUUGUCAAUUUAAAGUCAUUACAUUUUGUCAACUUUUAUUCAUUACUUUGUCAAAAUGUUUGCUCUUGGAAAUUUGUAAGCUAUUUUUUUAUUUAGUUUUAUUACUGUGUCAAAUAUCCUAUAUUUCAGUUAAUCUAGUCCCGCCAAACACUUAACUGUCCUACUGUUAUGUAUGUACAUGUAAACUAACCACAGAUAGUUGCCUUAUUUAUGGACUCUUGGUGGUGCACCGCUGCAGAAUGAAACACUGAUGUAUGGAACUGCCAAUCAAAAUUGCCGGAGCAAAGUUCUGAGACACAGAGCAACAAGAGAGGAAGAAAAGGUGGA